UUUGCCGAAAAAAAAAAAAAACAAGGGAAAAACAGUCACUGACCUGACCGGAGGCUAAGUGCUGGCUGGGUCCAAGAGUGGCCAGAUUGUUCUGUCAGGAACUCGGGCGGGCGGCGGACCCACAUGCACAGCACGGAGACGAUAUUAUAAUUAACAAAAGAUUUAUUCCUUAAGACACGGUCAGGCGGUCCAGGUCAACACAAAAAGGCUCGGCAAGAGUACAGGCAGGGAACAGGCAAAAACUCACGGUAAGUAGGUAAUCCGGGGUCGGGCAGGAUACACGAUGCGAACAGGAACAAAACACGAGAAGCACGAACAUUCAGGAAACACAGGAAACAAGGAUACACUCAUGGGACUCGAAACGACAAUCUGGCAAGUGACUACGGGAACAGGAGGUGACUAAAUACACGGGUGAGUGAUUACUGAUGCAGCGCAGGUGAGGAUAACGACCGGGUGAAACAAGAACAGCUGUGACGUGACAUGACUCGGGAGUGAAGCUAGAACACAAAACAGAGACCGGGGGACUACCAAAAUAAAACAGGAAACGGAACCUGGAACCAAAAUAAGACAAGGAAUCAGCUAGAACAAAAACACAGAUCAUGACAAGAACAAAAACACAGAUCAUGACAAUACACACCCUAAAGCAGAAACCUAACCUGUCCACCAACACAGCAACAUCACACACAUUUUGGAUUAGCUAAAUAAACCAUUAAAUAAACCAUAAAUCAGGAAGAGUAUAUAUAUUCUAUAUAUACUCUUCUUGUUAAAGCAAAGCUGUCCAUCACAAUAUGGCAUUCAGCGUAAUAUAUGCUGCUUGCUUAACUGCUGGACAGAACAAAAAAAAAAAAAAAGACUCUUGGAACCACAAGUAGCCUAGCUAUCUAAAAACGAAGCGUUCGGCUGGGAGCAUAAGGAACUAUGAGGUCUUUAAGAUAAGAAGGAGCUUUAUCAUUGAGUACUUUGUAGGUGAGUAGGAGAAUUUUAAAUUCUAUCCUACAUUUUACAGGCAGCCAGUUCAGCGAAGCUAAUGUAGGAGAAAUGUGAUCUCUCUUUCUAAUUCCUGUCAGAACUCUGGCUGCAGCAUUUUGAAUAAGCUGUAGGCUUUUUAAGGAGCUGUUAGGACAUCCUAUGAGUAAGCAGUUACAGUAGACCAACCUAGAGGUAACAAAUGCAUGGAUCAGUUUCUCUGCAUCACUCUGAGAGAGGAUGCUUCUGAUUUUAGCUAUAUUUCUAAGAUGGAAGUAGGCGGUUCUGGAGAUUUGUUUAAUCUAUGAUGUAAAAGAGAGAUCCUGGCCAAAGAUGACACCAAGAUUCCCCACAAUAGAAUCUGAAGCUAAUGUUAUGCCAUCCAGGGUGGCUAUCUGACUCAAUAGUGUCUCUCUCAGAUUUUUAGGCCCAACAAUAAGAAUUUCAGUUUUAUCUGAAUUUAGUUGAAGACAGUUUUGGGACAUCCAGGAUUUGAUGUGUUUUAAACAACCCUGAAUUUUGACUAGUUGAUCUGUUUCAAUUGGUUCCAAGGACAUAUAUAGCUGAGUAUCAUCUGCGUAGCAAUGAAAAUUAAUAGAAUGCUUUCUAAUAAUCUCACCUAGAGGAGACAUGUAUAGGCUAAACAAAAUUGGACCAAGCACAGAACCCUGUGGUACUCCAUAGCUAAUCCUUGUGUAUGUGGAGAAUUCGUCAUUAACAUGAACAAACUGGAAUCUGUUCAACAAAUAGGAUUUAAACCAUCCCAGUGCUGUUCCUUUAAUUCCGAUUCUAUGUUCUAGUCUCUGUAAUAGAAUGUUAUGAUCAAUGGUAUCAAAUGCGGCACUAAGAUCUAACAUGAGAAGGACAGAAACUAGACCAUUGUCCGAAGCUAAUAGAAGAUCAUUAGUGACUCUAACCAGAGCUGUUUCUGUGCUAUGAUUUUUUUCUAAAUCCUGACUUAAAAUCUUCAUACAGGUUAUUCCCACUAAGGUGGUAAGAUAAUUGUUUAGCCACGAUUUUUUCAAGAAUCUUGGAAAUAAAGGGUACAUUUGAAAUGGGCCUAUAGUUGGCUAGUUCUCCAGGGUCCAGGGUUUGUUUUUUUCAAUAGAGGUUUGACCACAGCCACCUUAAAAGCCUGUGUUACAUAGCCUAAAUGUAAAGAUUGGUUGAUUUGAUUUAAUAUGGACGAGCUGAUUAAAGGUAGAACUUCUUUGAGUAAUCUGGUUGGGAUUGGAUCUAAAAAACAAGUGGACGACUUGGAAGAGUUGAUUAUUGAGGUUAACUCCAUAUGAGUUAUGGGGAAGAAGCUGUUUAGGUAAGACAGAGGAUUUGGUAAAUUUAAAGUUGAUGGAUCUAGACAGUGCUUUCUGUCAUUUAGAAGAGGUCGCUGCUGAAUGGUUUUUUUUUAUUUUAUUAGUAAAGUAGUUCAUAAAGUCAUUGCUGCUGAGAUUUAAGGGGACAGUAGGCUUAACACAGCUAUGACUUUUAGUCAGCCUGGCUACAGUGCUGAAAAGAAACCUGGGUUGUUUUUGUUUUCCUCAAUUAGGGAGGAAUGAUAUGUUUUUCUAGCAGCAUGAAGUGCUUUUUUAUAUUUUAUUAGACUGUCCUUCCAUGCAAUGCAGUUUACAUUUAUUUUGUUGGAACGCCACUGUCUUUCUAGUUGUCUGGUCCUGUGCUUUAGGUUGCGGAUCUCUGAGUUAUACCACGGAGCUAACCUCCUCUGAUUCACUGUCUUCUUCUUCAGAGGAGCCACUGUGUCUAACAUUGUACGUAGAGAAGCUGCAGCAUCAUCUACAAGACAGUCAACCUGUUCAUAAGGAUCAAAGAGACUGUUCUCCUCUGUGUAUCUACAAGACAUUGAGGCAAAAGAUGAUGGAAUCAUCUGCUUGAAUCUGGCAACAGCGUUGUCACAUAAACAUCUGCUAUAGUAACAUUUCUUUCCGGCUAUUGUAAGGUCAAUUAUGCUAAAUUCAAAAGUUAAUAAGAAAUGGUCAGAUAACAGAAGAUUUGGGGGAAGAACUAUUAAAUGAUCAACUUCAACCCCAUAUGUCAGGACAAGAUCGAGGGUGUGGUUAAAACGAUGAGUGGGUUCAUUUACCUGCUGUGUAAAACCAGUAGUGUCUAUUAAGGAGUUAAAAGUAGUGCUGAGACAGUUGCUGUCAACAUCUACAUGAUUGUUAAAGUCUCCCACUACAAUGACUUUAUCUGUGCUAAGAACUAGGUCAGGUAAGAAUUCAGAGAAUUCAGUUAAGAACCCCGAAUAUGGAGCAGGAGGACCGUAAACAAUACAAAACACAACUGGCUUCUGAGUUUUAGAGUCUGGGUGAGAAAGGCUCAGAGUGAGGCUCUCAAAUGAGUUAUAACUAUGUUUAGGUUUAGGAGUAAUUAAUAAAUCUGAUUUAUAAAUGGCUGCUACUCCUCCACCUCCCCCUGUACUUCUUGGAACAUGAUAGUUGAUGUGACUCAUUGGAGUCGACUCAUUUAAAGUAACAUAUUCAUCCUGCUGCAGCCAGGUUUCAGUGAGACAGAACAGAUCUAUGCGAUGGUCACUUAUCAAGUCAUUUAUUAACAAGGAUUUAGAUGAGAGAGAUCUGAUAUUUAAUAAACCACACUUUAUUAAUUUGCUGUUACUUUGUUCUGUAAGAUGAACUGUUUUGAUGUUUAUAAAAUUCUGGUAAGUCACUCCUCUUUGAUUUGUGUGUGACUUGUAUAGUUUAGGUGGUCGAGAAGCAGACACAGUCUCUAUGCGAUAACUAAGACUAAGAGUGGGUGGCGGCUGUAGAGAACAUGCAGAGAGGCGUGUAAGACAGCGAAUCUGCGAACUUGGCUCCACUCUGAGUUGUCACGGAGUGACACUAGAGAUCUAGCCUCUAGUGUUCAUGCUGAGGGCCAUCUCCGCUGCAUACGCCUUGGAGUUUUCGAGUUUCAGAACAGCUGAGAAAAGUUGGUUUAAUCAACUCCGAGUUGAUUGACUCAGAGUUAAGCGCAUGCACCGCAACUAUAAAAAGCCUUGAUCAAUGGAGUGAAGACAUUACGAGUCACCAUGGCAACAGGAAAACAAAAGAGGUCCGGAAAUGGAUGGAAAUGACCCUAAGCAUAUAGCGACUACGAGUCAAAAAAAAAAAAAAGGAAACCGACUGCAGCGGCGAAAGAGAAAGAAUUAGCUUGGAAGAAAAUAGCUGCUCGAGUCAAUGCAUAAGUUUACAUUUUAAUCAUACAGUGUUCGGUGUAACUAAUGAAAUAAAUAAAUAAUUAAUAUUGUUGUUAUUUUUCACUUGUAAGUAAGGACUUAGUAAAGUAAAUUCUUCACUCAUCUAAAGAGUUCCUUCAGUAAUUGCAUAAAAUACCGAUUUUUGUAUGAAUUAAAAGUGCAUUGUUUUGUCUAUCCAUUUUUAAAAUUCCUUUUGUGGUUGAUGUGGGAUUUGUACAGUAAUGAUAAUUCAAUAAUCCAAUGUUUUAUGGAGAGCAAUUAUUACAUUGGGUUUUUAAAAGUUACCUAAAACUCAUGUAAUAAUAUAAGAAUUUAAUUUAAUUUUUUAUGUAGGUGCAAUCCUGCAGGCAUAAAAAGAACGUGGCUAAAAAUAAAAUAUAAAAACAUAAUUCAAACAGGGCAUGAUCAUAUCAUGAGUGUAGACUACCUGACUUUACAACAUUUGACAUAUUAAAUAACUAAAUAGCAUGCAAAGUAUAGCAGUGCAGCAGCAUUUUCAACAUGGCUGUAAUGUUUUCACAGUUAAAUCAUUCGACUACUCAGCCAACAGAAAGAAAGCAGAGGCCAGAACAACUGGUGGAGGACCUGCACCUCCAACACUGACGCAUGCAGAGGAGAAGGCCCUCAGCCUGAACACUGGAAAGCAGGGGCUGAAGGAAUUCCUGGAGGGAGUUCAUCAGAACCCGUCACUCCCCAGGAUAGAAGUGCAUCUGUAAAAUGCCUACCUAUAUAUUUGAUUUUUUAUAUUAUUUAUUUUUUUACAUAGGCUACUUUUGAUAUAUUCAUUUCUUAGACUCUGGGUUGGGUUCUGUGUUGGUCAUUUAUGAUCAGAAUCUGUUCUGAUCGUAAUGUCAGCCUCUUGGAUCCUCCUGUCACAACAGAAGCCCAGGCUAGUGUGGAAGAACAGCAGGAAGGUCCGUCCCAUUCUGCUGCACAGAUGCAAACAAAUAAGCUGUAGCAGUUUCCCCAUGUAGCAAUGUUGACUCUAAAGACAAGGAGCACAGGCUACUGCAGCUCAGACCAUGCUACACAAAGUUCUAAUGUUUCCUGCUAGUUUAAUGCAAAAGUUGUUCACAGAAGCAGAACGCCGAAUCAGAUAGGACACUAACCCAGGAACAUCCUAAUACUCCAGACGACCACUGGGCAUCCCGUCAGUGGGUCCAACCUUGUAAAGUGCCUACAGACAACUGUAUACUCUAUAUAACGCUAUAGAAAGGAACAGUCAAUGUUUUGGUGCAGAAUUUCUAGUAAAGGAUUUGAGGUCAUGUGACUUACUGAUGCAGAAUUAAACCUUUGUGAUUCGACCAAAUGUACUGUCCAUCCAAUCUAUAGCUUUUCAGCAAAAACAUUUUACAGUUGAUAACAGAAAAACGUGUUUUGCUUGAUUUAUUUAAAAUAUUCCGACAUAAAAUGAAAUUACAUUUUUAUAUUGCUAUUUACAAAAGAAAUUGCAUUAAUCUAAAACGCCCUUUGAAUGGUUUGUUGGAUGUUGAUGAUCACAGUUCUCUUCUCGAAAGGCACUAAGAAAUAACAGGCUAAUACAUUUCUUUAAUCAAUAGGCGGCACAGAUCAAAGUCAUAAAUAGCUUUUGCCUUUGGCAGUGACCAAACCAAGCUCAUUAGUUACGAAAGGAUUCUUUCAGCAGUUUUCCUUUACACGUUUUAAAGACUGAUCAAUAAAUACAAGCACAAACAUGGCACAAUUGUCAAGUUUUCCAGGAAUGUAACAAAAAAAAAACAAAAA